rnacentral:rRNA from 1 species
UACGUAGGGCGCAAGCGUUUAUCCGGAAUUAUUGGGCGUAAAGAGCUCGUAGGCGGUUUGUCGCGUCUGCCGUGAAAGUCCGGGGCUCAACUCCGGAUCUGCGGUGGGGUACGGGCAGACUAGAGUGAUGUAGGGGAGACUGGAAUUCCUGGUGUAGCGGUGAAAUGCGCAGAUAUCAGGAGGAACACCGAUGGCGAAGGCAGGUCUCUGGGCAUUAACUGACGCUGAGGAGCGAAAGCAUGGGGAGCGAACAGG